CGGAGGAACAUGUGGUUUAAUUCGAUGAUACGCGAGGAACCUUACCCGGGCUUAAAUUGCAGAGGACAGUCUCAGAGAUGGGAUCUUCUUCGGACCUCUGUGAAGGUGCUGCAUGGUUGUCGUCAGCUCGUGCCGUGAGGUGUCGGCUUAAGUGCCAUACCGAGCGCAACCCUUGCUAUUAGUUGCUAACAGGUCAUGCUGAGGACUCUAGUGGGACUGCCAUCGUAAGAUGUGAGGAAGGUGGGGAUGACGUCAAAUCAGCACGGCCCUUACGUCCGGGGCUACACACGUGUUACAAUGGGAGGUACAGAAGGCUGCUACCCGGCGACGGGAUGCCAAUCCCUAAAACCCCUCUCAGUUCGGACUGGAGUCUGCAACCCGACUCCACGAAGCUGGAUUCGCUAGUAAUCGCGCAUCAGCCACGGCGCG
rnacentral:rRNA from 1 species